rnacentral:rRNA from 1 species
ACUCCUACGGGAGGCAGCAGUAAGGAAUAUUGGUCAAUGGAGGCAACUCUGAACCAGCCAUGCCGCGUGCAGGAAGAAUGCCCUCUGGGUUGUAAACUGCUUUUAUCAGGGAAUAAACCCUUCUACGUGUAGGAGGCUGAAUGUACCUGAGGAAUAAGGAUCGGCUAACUCCGUGCCAGCAGCCGCGGUAAU